UGCAUAGGAAUCUACCUAGUAGUAUAGGAUAGCCACUAGAAAUGGUGGGUAAUACUGUAUAAUCCCUGCGGGGGAAAGAUUUAUCGCUACUAGAUGAGCCUAUGUCAGAUUAGCUAGUUGGUGGGGUAAUGGCCCACCAAGGCUGUGAUCUGUAGCUGGUCUGAGAGGAUGAUCAGCCACACUGGAACUGAGACACGGUCCAGACUCCUACGGGAGGCAGCAGUGGGGAAUAUUGGACAAUGGGCGCAAGCCUGAUCCAGCUAUGCCGCGUGAGUGAGGAAGGCCUUAGGGUUGUAAAACUCUUUCAGUAGGGAAGAUAAUGACGGUACCUACAGAAGAAGUCCCGGCAAACUCCGUGCCAGCAGCCGCGGUAAUACGGAGGGGGCAAGCGUUGUUCGGAAUUAUUGGGCGUAAAGGGCAUGUAGGCGGUUUGGUAAGUUAAAGGUGAAAUGCCAGGGCU
rnacentral:rRNA from 1 species